GAUGCUACCUGGUUAAUCCUGCCAGUAGUCAUAUGCU
rnacentral:rRNA from 1 species